UGAUUGUUGGGGAAGAAAGAGGAAGGGGCAAAGUCCCGCCGCGGCCGGACCACCCCAGAAGCUCUCUCGCCUGUCUGCUGUGCGACCUGGGCCCACUGUUGUUGCGUCCACGCAAAGCGUCGUUGUUAUGGCGAACACAAUAAAUAUUUCACAUUUUCAAAAAGAGAGCAGUUUUCCUCUUCCACACUCGUCAGUGUUCAGGCCCCUAAUCAGCGGUCUGCCAUCCGACACUAUCCAGCCCCUUGUCACGCGGGCCGAGGCCUGGCAGGCCAUCCCCGGAGUGUCCAAGUGGGUGUUGGGGAUAAUAAAACAUGGCUACUCACUGCAGUUCGCCCGAAGACCCCCGCGUUUUCGCGGAGUGAUUCCCACCUCGGUAGAGCCGGACGACGCUUAGGUCCUCCGCACCGAAGUGAUGACGCUGUUAAGGAAGGGAGCCAUAGAGAUAGUUCCUCCCUCAGAAAGCGGGUCGGGGUUCUACAGCCGUUAUUUCCUUGUCCCCAAGAAAGAUGGCGGUCUCAGACCCAUCUUAGACCUCAGACACCUGAACCUUUCCCUCAUGAAACGGAAGUUCAAGAUGUUGACACUGAAGCAGAUCCUCACGCAGAUUUGCCCGAGGACUGGUUUUUCUCGCUGGACCUGAAAGAUGCUUACUUUCACAUCCAGAUAGCCCCCCAUCACAGACGAUUCUUGAGAUUUGAGGGUGUGGCUUACCAAUAUACAGUCCUUCCCUUUGGGCUGUCUCUAGCUCCCCGCACUUUCACGAAGUGCAUGAACGAGGCGCUUUCCCCUCUGAGACAGAUGGGAAUCCGCAUUCUGAACUAUCUCGACGACUGGCUCAUUCUAGCCCAGUCACGAACCGAGCUAGACCUCAACAGAUCCGUGCUCCUGAGCCACUUACAGUGCCUAGGACUCAGGGUCAAUUUCGCCAAGAGCUCACUGGGAGCAGUUUUCGACUCCGUCAAUAUGAGGGCGGUCAUAUCACCAGAGCGCGCUCUGGUACUUCAGCAGCUCGCGGCCUCUGUCAAGAACAAAGCCUGUUUCCCUCUGAAGUUCUUUCAGAGGAUGCUAGGGCUGAUGGCUUCUGCCUCCCCAGUUUUACAGCUCGGCCUCCUACGAAUGCGGCCCUUGCAGUACUGGCUGAAACUCCGGGUC
rnacentral:lncRNA from 1 species